AGCAGCCGCCACGGUAAUACGUAGGUGGCAAGCGUUGUCCGGAAUUAUUGGGCGUAAGGGGCUCGCAGGCGGUUUCUUAAGUCUGAUGUGAAAGCCCCCGGCUCAACCGGGGAGGGUCAUUGGAAACUGGGAAACUUGAGUGCAGAAGAGGAGAGUGGAAUUCCACGUGUAGCGGUGAAAUGCGUAGAGAUGUGGAGGAACACCAGUGGCGAAGGCGACUCUCUGGUCUGUAACUGACGCUGAGGAGCGAAAGCGUGGGGAGCGAACAGGAUUAGAUACCCGAGUAGUCCCUGUCUCUUAUAC
rnacentral:rRNA from 1 species